GGAUGGGUGGCCGAGCGGUUGAAGGCACCGGUCUUGAAAACCGGCAAGGGGUUACCCCCCUUCGUGGGUUCGAAUCCCACCCCAUCCGCCA
rnacentral:tRNA from 1 species